ensembl:lncRNA
UGCUGCUCAUCAGACCAGGAAAACAACACCAGCACUUCAACAAUGUGGCUUUUCAACCACGAUUGCUGAACAAUUCUCACUCUCCAGCUGGUAUCAUUUUGCCAGCAGCCCUCUUGGUCUGCAGAUAGAGCUCUGCUGGUGGGAAGGCACAGCUUCUGGCUUUGCCCACAUCAAGGAGGAGGUGGCACAACCACCAGAGAAGAAAGAACAGCUUUUCCAGAACCACGUUGCAGAUGGCAAUGGAGGCAGUGACACCGCUGUGUUCACAGGGCGAGAACAGCAGCAGCUUCUUCCUGUGCAGAGGCCCCAAACUGGAACUGAUCCCAACCCAAAGCCAUUGGUACUCUGCAAUAGCUGUCAGUAGCCUACACAAAGCCACUGGUUUCACCCCAUUUCUUGGUGGGAAUGUGCCCACACUCUGUGUAUCCUGUGUUAACUCAACAGCUGCUGUACCAGCAUGACCUAAGCCUGCUGUUUUUUAGGAUUCCACACAGCCCUUCCAAAAAAGCAUCACUGGGAAAGUCAAGCAAGAAAACAUGCGAAAUCAAAGCCAAAUAGGGAGACAAAUUCUCUACCCCAAUCCUCUGCUCCUUUCCAGAUCUAUUAUACCAUCUUCAUAGGACGAAAAGAAGAUUCAGAAGCUGCCUGGGACUCUGCUGGAAAGGGCUGGCUCUGGAGGCCUUUCCUCUCUCCAGCUGCAGCAUAUCCUAGGGAGAAAACUUUAAGCUUAACCUUCAGGGGCCAACUCCUGGUAUCUACCUCCCACUGAAGCUGUUUCGGUCAGAGCCGUUCUCUUUCCUUACCCGGUUUUGGCAGGAAAGUUCAAGGUGUCCUGGCAGCAGGAAGCUCCCUUGCUCCACCCUCUGCUCUGCACACCAGCUCUCUGAGCUUAUCAAGGAUUUGCUGCACCAGAGCUGCCAGAGACAGUGACCUGUUCCGUGUGGACACUCAAGUGGGAGCUGGACCCCCGGCAUGAAGCACUUCGAGCCCUGGGCAGCCUCCACAGUGCUUCUCUUCACCGCUGCGCUCUGGGAUUCCUGCUCAGCAGCAGCUGAAGCCAUCUCCAAUGUUUCAGGAAGCUCCACGCCCACAACUGAGUAUGAACCACCAUGUCUUAAUGUGAACUUCUGCACGCAGGCGGCCGUGUGCUGCCCGUCGGGCAUGGACGAUUACGGGUGGAUUGCAGCGGCCGUCGGCUGGAGCCUCUGGUUUCUGACUCUCAUCCUGCUCUGCAUGGACAAGAUCAUGAAACUCCGGCCUGACGAACCCAAAUACUUGGUGGCCUGAAGCAGGGACUGAAGCCAGCAGGCAGCAGCACCUGGGAGCAGUGAGGUGCAGACAGACAGACAAAGCAUUUCGAACACUUCCUAAGAAACUGAAAAAGAAAGGAAACAUUCAGUCAAAAAGACCAGAUUUAAGCAGGGCAGCUGCUGAACCUUCAUCCUCCCUGGCAGGUUGGAGCUGCCAGCCAAGGUGUGGACUAGGCAAGUCCUUGCAAGCCACCACAUAUGUCCCACAGUGCAAAAAAAAAAAAAUAUUUUCUCUGAGCUGCCUCAUGCUUGCUGUGAGAGCAGCAACAGCAAGGAGAGGUGAAGGACCAGUUACCAGUCUAUAGCCUGUUGUCUUAAGACAACCCAGUGCAUGAUCUUUGGUUUGAAACAGAAAGUGGGCAAAUAAAGAUAUUUUCUGGAGGAUCA